AACAGCUUCAUAAAUCACUCCAGUGUAGUAGUCAAGUCCUCUGGCAAGACUCAAGUCAAAUACCACUUUGUCAAUACACUUUGACUUUUCUAGAGCACUGAAUAAAAUCUCUAAUUCACUCAAUGCAUCAGAAGAUCCUUUAUUUUGUAGUAACGCACUCUGCUCCUGUUUAAGUUUAGAUAAUAACUCCGAUGGAUGUCCCCUUUCCUUCACAAAAUCACCAAUUCUUUCAGCUAUCUCCACGGUCAACCCCUUUUCCUCCACCAUUUCUCUUUUUAUCUGGUCAAAAGAUUGCUUGUCUAACUUGUCAAUACUUGAACAUAUGGUUCUGAACUUUUCAGGUGGCACUCCACA
rnacentral:misc_RNA from 1 species